rnacentral:lncRNA from 1 species
GAAAUUCAAGACUGAAAGGGGGUAGAAAACCAAGUAGCAGAUCACUUGUCCAGAUUGGAGCCACAAGAAGGGAAUUCUCUUAUUAUACCAAUUUAGGAAACAUUUCCAGAUGAACACAUAUUGAAGGUAAGUCAUGUCCAUAAUGCCCCUUGGUUUGCUGAUAUUGCUAACUAUUUAGCUUGUGGUUUGAUGCCAAUUGGUAAGAAUUAUCAAUAAAGGAGAAAGUUUCUUCACGAUGUGAAGUACUACUUCUGGGAAGAGCGAUAUUUGUUUAAAAGGUGUGCAGAUCAGAUGAUUAGGAGAUACGUGGCAGAAGAUGAAGUAUAAAAGAUUUUAUACCAUUG